CGGAGUGACGGCGUACCUUUUGUAUAAUGGGUCAUCGACUUGGUCUAUCUAGCAAGCUUAAGCCGUUAGGUGUAGGCGCAGCGAAAGCGAGUCUUAAUAGGGCGUUGAGUUAGAUGGAUCAGACCCGAAACCGAGUGAUCUAGGCAUGACCAGGAUGAAGGUAAGGUAACACUUGCUGGAGGUCCGAACCCACACCUGUUGAAAAAGGUCGGGAUGAGUUGUGCCUAGGGGUGAAAGGCCAAUCAAACUCGGAGAUAGCUGGUUCUCCGCGAAAUCUAUUUAGGUAGAGCGUCAUCCGAAUACCCCGGGGGGUAGAGCACUGGAUGGGUAAUGGGGCCCCACAGGCUUACUGAUCCUAACCAAACUCCGAAUACCCGGGAGUACUAGAUGGCAGACACACGGCGGAUGCUAACGUCCGUCGUGGAGAGGGAAACAACCCUGACCUACAGCUAAGGCCCCCAAUUCGUGGCUAAGUGGGAAAGCAGGUGGGACGACCAAAACAACCAGGAGGUUGGCUUAGAAGCAGCCAUCCUUUAAAGAUAGCGUAACAGCUCACUGGUCUAAUCAAGUUGUCCUGCGGCGAAGAUGUAACGGGGCUCAAGCCACGAGCCGAAGCUUAGGAUGCCGUAAGGCAUGGUAGCGGAGCGUAGUGUGACAUAGAACUCGCCCUCUUCUGCAUCCUCCGGGAUGUAAUGGAGGGCAGGGUUCUUUCUGUGAAGCCCGGGCGUGAGCCAUCGGGUGGAGAGAUCACUAGCGAGAAUGAUGACAUGAGUAGCGACAAAGAGUGUGAGAGACACUCUCGCCGAAAGUCCAAGGGUUCCUGCUUAAAGCUAAUCUGAGCAGGGUAAGCCGGCCCCUAAGGCGAGGCCGAAAGGCGUAGUCGAUGGGAACCAGGUUAAUAUUCCUGGGCCAUGUGGUGGUGACGGAUCGCGGAUGUAGUUCUUCCUUAUCGGAUUGGGAGGGCUGCUGAGCGGUCCCUGGAAAUAGCCCCACUUUAGGACCGUACCCUAAACCGACACAGGUGGACUGGUAGAGCAUACCAAGGCGCUUGAGAGAACGAUGUUGAAGGAACUCGGCAAAAUACCUCCGUAAGUUCGCGAGAAGGAGGCCCGGUUCCUAGGCAACUAGGGGCUGGGGGCACAAACCAGGGGGUGGCGACUGUUUACUAAAAACACAGGGCUCUGCGAAGUCGCAAGACGACGUAUAGGGUCUGACGCCUGCCCGGUGCCUGAAGGUUAAAAGGAGGGGUGAGAGCUCCGAAUUGAAGCCCAGGUAAACGGCGGCCGUAACUAUAACGGUCCUAAGGUAGCGAAAUUCCUUGUCGGGUAAGUUCCGACCUGCACGAAUGGCGUAACGACUUCCCCGCUGUCUCCAACAUCGACUCAGCGAAAUUGAAUUGCCUGUCAAGAUGCAGGCUUCCCGCGGUUAGACGGAAAGACCCCGUGCACCUUUACUACAGCUUCACACUGGCAUCAGGCACAACAUGUGCAGGAUAGGUGGUAGGCUUCGAAGCAGGGACGCCAGUUCCUGUGGAGCCUUCCUUGAGAUACCACCCUUGUUCUGCUUGAUGUCUAACCGCGGUCCGUUAUCCGGAUCCGGGACCCUGUGUGGCGGGUAGUUUGACUGGGGCGGUCGCCUCCUAAAGCGUAACGGAGGCGCGCGAAGGUUGGCUCAGAGCGGUCGGAAAUCGCUCGUUGAGUGCAAUGGCAGAAGCCAGCCUGACUGCAAGACUGACAAGUCGAGCAGAGUCGAAAGACGGCCAUAGUGAUCCGGUGGUCCCAAGUGGGAGGGCCAUCGCUCAACGGAUAAAAGGUACGCCGGGGAUAACAGGCUGAUACUGCCCAAGAGUCCAUAUCGACGGCAGUGUUUGGCACCUCGAUGUCGGCUCAUCUCAUCCUGGGGCUGGAGCAGGUCCCAAGGGUACGGCUGUUCGCCGUUUAAAGAGGUACGUGAGCUGGGUUUAGAACGUCGUGAGACAGUUCGGUCCCUAUCUGCCGUGGGUGUAGGAUACUUGAGAGGAGUUGCCCCUAGUACGAGAGGACCGGGGUGAACGAUCCACUGGUGGACCAGUUGUCGUGCCAACGGCAGUGCUGGGUAGCUAUGAUCGGACAGGAUAACCGCUGAAGGCAUCUAAGCGGGAAGCCCCCCUCAAAACAAGGUAUCCCUGAGGGCCGUGGAAGACCACCACGUCGAUAGGCCGGAGAUGUAAGCAUGGUAACAUGUUCAGUUGACCGGUACUAAUGGCCCGAUAGGCUUGAUU
rnacentral:rRNA from 1 species